rfam:Aedes albopictus isolate Foshan contig130310, whole genome shotgun sequence.
GUCCAGUUAGCCUAGUGGUUAAGGCUAUAGAUCGCAAAUCCGGAGACGGCGGGUUCGAUUCCCGUUCCAGUCG